ACUUCAAGAGGUGCAUCAAAAGCAAUUCAAUUGAAAAUUAAAGAAGAAAACAAAGCGGGCAUCUUUCUUUUGGUACAGCAAGAUAAACGGCGAUACAAUCAGGAAAUUUAAAAGGGAUCUGCAUCUGACUCGCUCGUAAGCGAUUUAAUUAAAAGGGAGACGUGCAACAUUUACCAGCAUCCAGCACAGCUACCAGGGCAGAUUCAAACACAUUAACACACACACACGUACACGCAGCGGACGUAUUUGUUAAGUAUCGUAGUUAGAAAAAUGAGUAAAAGAAAGUUGUCUAAUUUAUUGGGAAAAGAAAAAAAAAAAUUAUGAGGAAAAUGUAGCGAAAUUUCCCAAAUUAAAUGAAAAUGUUAACGUAGAAGCAAAUGAAAACUUUCCCAACAGAUUAGACGACGAUGAUUUUCCAUCAACAAGUAGAGUAGCUUUGCAAAAUUUAGAAUAUGAUAUAGAUAGCGGAGAUGACAGUGUAUUUUUUGAAGGUUUAGAUGUAGAAGAUGUUGAGGUAGAUAGUUAU